CAGCCGCCGCGGUAAUACAGAGGGUGCAAGCGUUAAUCGGAAUUACUGGGCGUAAAGCGCGCGUAGGUGGUUUGUUAAGUUGGAUGUGAAAUCCCCGGGCUCAACCUGGGAACUGCAUCCAAAACUGGCAAGCUAGAGUCUUGUAGAGGGGGGUAGAAUUCCAGGUGUAGCGGUGAAAUGCGUAGAGAUCUGGAGGAAUACCGGUGGCGAAGGCGGCCCCCUGGACAAAGACUGACGCUCAGGUGCGAAAGCGUGGGGAGCAAACAGGAUUAGAUACCCCGGUAGUCCCUGUCUCUUAUAC
rnacentral:rRNA from 1 species